rnacentral:lncRNA from 1 species
GAGCAGGAGUGGCCGUCUUGGACCAUGAGGUGGCAGCUGUGUGUUGAUAGGACCCUAGGUCCAUAAAAUCACCAUACUAGACUUGGACUGCCUACAUUUCUGAGGUCUCACGAGGCUGAAAUCAAGGUGUUGGCUGUCCUGAGCUCAUUUUUGGAGGUUCUGGAGAAGAAUCUGCUUCCAAGCUCAUUCGGGUUGUUGGAAGAAUCCAGUUCCUUGUAAUUACAGGGUUGAGGUCCCCACGUCCUUGCUGGCUGUCACUUGGGAAACUCUCUCAGCUCCUUAAGGCCAUCUACAUCCCUCAUCAUGUUGCUUCCUCCAUCUUCAUUCCGGUGAUGGUGCGUAGAGUCCUUCUGAUGCUUCAAGUCUCUGCGACUUCCCCUUUUACAGUAUCUUUUCUGUCUCCAGCCAGAGAAAGUUCUCUGCUUUUAAGGACUCAGGUGAUUAGCUUGGACCCACCUGGUUAAUCCAGAAUAACCUCCCAAUUUUAAGGCCCGAAGCCUUAAUCACACCUGCAAAGCCCCUUUUGCCAUGUCAGGUAACAUCAUCAGAGGUUCCAGGGAUCAGGACAUAGACAUCUUUGGGGGGACAUUCUACCUACCACAGCAAUCCUCUGGUCAGUCUUAGCCAAAGACUCCAAAGAUGAGGUUUCCUACCACUUCUAUUAAACUCUGGCUAUUUGGGUUCCUGGGGGUACCUAGAGGACACUGAUCAUUUUAAUUUAUAGAUCAUCAGGAAAUUGUACAGUGCUAUAGACUGAAUGUUUGUGUUCCCCCAAAGUUCGGGUGUUGAAGCCCUAAGCCCCAGUGUGAUGGUAUUAGGAGGUGAGGCCUUUGGGAGGUAAUUAGGUUUAAAUGAGGUCACGAGGGUGGAGCCCCCACGAUGGGACUAGUGUCCACAUAAGAAGAGAAAGAGACCCCAGAGCUUCCUCACUUAGCCACGUGAGGAUACAACAAGAAGAUGGCCUUUUGUAAGCUAGGAAGAGAGUUCUGAUUAGGAACUGAAUCUGCCGGCACCUUGAUCUUGGACUCCCCAGCCUCCAGAACUGUGAAAAAUAAAUGUCUGUUGUUUAAGCCGCC